UCCACACCCAUGUGUGUAGGACCCCAAAGGAUCACUAUUAAAUUUGGCACAGAUCUCUAAAAAAGUUAUCACAUGGGUGUAGGACUUGACUUUUCUAGAUAUUUGUGCCAAAUUUAAUGGUGAUCCUUUGAGGUCCUACACACAUGGGUGUGGG
rfam:Amborella trichopoda AMTR_V1.0_contig_32605, whole genome shotgun sequence.